rnacentral:sRNA from 1 species
GCCGGGGAUGGUGGUGCACACCUGUAAUCCCAGCAACUCAGGAGGCUGAGGCAGGAGGAUCACAAGUUUGAGGCUGGCCUCAGCAAUUUAGUGAGGCCCUAUGCAAUUUAGUGAGACCCUGUUUCAA